GCGGCAACAGCUCAGAUUUGAAAUCUGGCCCUUACGGGGUCCGAGUUGUAAUCUGUAGAGGAUGCUUUUGGCGACGCGCCUUCCGAGUCCCCUGGAACGGGGCGCCAGAGAGGGUGAGAGCCCCGUAUGGUUGGACGCCGAACCUCUGUAAAGCUCCUUCGACGAGUCGAGUAGUUUGGGAAUGCUGCUCAAAAUGGGAGGUAAAUUUCUUCUAAAGCUAAAUACCGGCCAGAGACCGAUAGCGCACAAGUAGAGUGAUCGAAAGAUGAAAAGCACUUUGAAAAGAGGGUUAAAUAGCACGUGAAAUUGCUGAAAGGGAAGCGCUUGUGACCAGACUUGCGCCCGGUUGAUCAUCCAGCGUUCUCGCUGGUGCACUCUGCCGGGCUCAGGCCAGCAUCGGCUCUCCCAGGGGGAUAAAGGUCGCGGGAACGUAGCUCUCUCCGGGGAGUGUUAUAGCCCGUGGCGGAAUGCCCUUAGGGGGGGCCGAGGCCCGCGUUCGCAAGGAUGCUGGCGUAAUGGUCACCAGCGACCCGUCUUGAAACACGGACCAAGGAGUCAAGCAUUAGGGCGAGUCUUUGGGUGCAAAACCCGCAGGCGCAAUGAAAGUGAACGGAGGUGAGAGCUUCGGCGCAUCAUCGACCGAUCCUGAUGUUCUCGGAUGGAUUUGAGUAAGAGCCUUACCGCUUGGACCCGAAAGAUGGUGAACUAUGCCUGAAUAGGGUGAAGCCAGAGGAAACUCUGGUGGAGGCUCGCAGCGGUUCUGACGUGCAAAUCGAUCGUCAAAUUUGGGCAUGGGGGCGAAAGACUAAUCGAACCAUCUAGUAGCUGGUUACCGCCGAAGUUUCCUCAGGAUAGCAGUGUUGUCUUCAGUUUUAUGA
rnacentral:rRNA from 1 species